GGGGAUGUGGUUCAGUAGUAGAAUGCUUGCUUGGCAUGCAUCAGGCCCUAGGUUUGAUCACUAGUACCACCA
rnacentral:tRNA from 1 species